rnacentral:rRNA from 1 species
AGCGAACGCUGGCGGCAGGCCUAACACAUGCAAGUCGAACGAACCCUUCGGGGUUAGUGGCGGACGGGUGAGUAACACGUGGGAACGUGCCUUUAGGUUCGGAAUAACUCAGGGAAACUUGUGCUAAUACCGAAUGUGCCCUUCGGGGGAAAGAUUUAUCGCCUUUAGAGCGGCCCGCGUCUGAUUAGCUAGUUGGUGAGGUAAUGGCUCACCAAGGCUACGAUCAGUAGCUGGUCUGAGAGGAUGACCAGCCACAUUGGGACUGAGAAACGGCCCAAACUCCUACGGGAGGCAGAAGUGGGGAAUCUUGCGCAAUGGGCGAAAGCCUGACGCAGCCAUGCCGCGUGGAUGAUGAAGGUCUUAGGAUUGUAAAAUCCUUUCACCGGUGAAGAUAAUGACUGUAGCCGGAGAAGAAGCCCCGGCUAACUUCGUGCCAGCAGCCGCCGUAAUAC